GGCUUGUUAGCUCAAUUGGUAGAGCGCUGCACUAGUAUCGCAGAGGUCAUUGGUUCGAAUCCAGUACAGGCCU
rnacentral:tRNA from 1 species